AAGUCGUAACAAGGUCUCCGUAGGUGAACCUGCGGAGGGAUCAUUACAGAGUUCAUGCCCUUCGGGUAGAUCUCCCACCCCUGUGUUAUUAUUACUUUUUGCUUUGGCGGGCCGUCCGCAAGGCGUCAGCUCCGGCUGACCCGCGCCCCGGCCCAGAGGCCCAAAACUCUUUUAUCAGUGAUGUCGAGUACUAUAUAAUGUUAAAA
rnacentral:misc_RNA from 1 species